rnacentral:rRNA from 1 species
UACGGAGGGUGCAAGCGUUAUCCGGAUUUAUUGGGUUUAAAGGGUGCGUAGGCGGGACAUUAAGUCAGUGGUGAAAUCUCUCAGCUCAACUGAGAAACUGCCAUUGAUACUGAUGUUCUUGAGUUUGGUUGAAGUAGGCGGAAUGAGGCAUGUAGCGGUGAAAUGCAUAGAUAUGCCUCAGAACACCAAUUGCGAAGGCAGCUUACUAAGUCAAAACUGACGCUGAGGCACGAAAGCGUGGGGAGCGAACAGG